rnacentral:lncRNA from 1 species
CCAUGGGGCCCACUUUGGGCAUCCUCCUUGCUGGUGUGAGGCAUCACACCAGCACCUCUCUUCUCUCAUUUGAUUGGGUUGUGAAGGUGAUUUGAUCGGAGUUCAUUCCACUUUUCUGUGCUAUUUGGUGUGCAUGCGAAGUAGAGGGUCUGCACUUACAGACCUCUGCGAAGGUUGAUUCUAGAUUUUUGGAGAUUUGAUCUCCAGUUCCACUGCUAUUCAGGUAAGGAUUUGAUUCUUAUUUAUAU